UGGGACACACCCUUCUUGCCUUCCCCUAGACGUGGGUCAUUUCCUGGAGAACUGUGAGGACGUCCUGUUCUCCUCCUGGACUGAGGCCAGUGCCUGAUCGAGACUGUUCUGGAGCCCUGAGGCCCCUUGCACUCAUCCACUUCCUGUGAUUGGGGCUCACUGCUCCCCAAACAGAUGGCUGAUUCGUGACUGCCUUUCCCUCCUGCCACAGGACUCAGUCUUGCUCUUUCUUGGAUCUUCCGUGGUGACCAGGCAAGCCCCAGGCACAUCACCCCCGCAGAGACCAGGUCAAUGGCUCCCCACCUCUACGUCUCCACCCCAGGAUCUGAAACAUGCUCCCAGCGACUUGUGUCAUGGGAGGUGUGCCGGCCGGCAUACUGCGGGGUGUGGGGUCUCUGCAGGCAGCUGGUGGCACAGUGCUGGCGGCUCUCCAGAUCUCACCUGGAAGGAAGAUUAAGGAAAACUCCAGAGGACCGGAAGGAGUUAAACCACUUGUCCAAGCUCACGCAGUUGUCCCUGAAACUGCAUCCAGGACACUCCCAGUUCGUGGGCAAGGCACCUCUGGGGCUACCUGAAGGAGCCUUCACCAUCCAGGAGCCCCUGCACUCCCUGGUGCUGGGAGUGAGAGGCUGAGCAUCAGGACGGUGCCCCUGGCACAUGCUGAAGGCUAAGAGGGGCUGAUUCCGAACAGUGACGAAGAAUACACGUCACCACAGGGAAUCACCUCUGGAAUGUUCUAAGUAUUUGAAAUCAUGUACUAUUCACAGGAUUUGGGCCAUUGAGCCUCUCCAUAGUUGGUGAUUAAUUGUCUCUACACAAUUGAGCCAACUUUUGUGCCCACACUGGCAUUCUAUAUCCCUCAUCCUAUCUCGGGUCCACUUUCCUUUUUUGGAAGCAAAUUCUGAGUAGUGCUUUUGAUGAGGGUCUCUGAUUAGCAAAUUGCUCUUUCACUCACUGUCUUUGAAAAUGCUUCCUUUGGCCGGUAUUCUUGAACAGACAUUUAGGCGGAUUUAAGUCCCUGUACGGACAGUCAUUUUUCCCCAUGCACUCUGAAUAUAUCCCUCUAUUGUUUUCUGACAUCUAAUGGUCUUGUCACGACAAACUUAUUGGACAUUUGUCUUUGAUUUCUAAAGGCUUUUAGAUUUUUCUCUUCAUAUUAAUGUUCUGUUAAAAUACAGCGGAGUCUCUGUUUAUACCAUGGUGUGUGUGUGUGUUGCAUGUAGAUGUGUAUGGGGGGUGUAUUUGCAAGAAUGUGUGAGCCCAUACAUAUACUGGUAUUAACUUUGUCACUUGCCUUUUUAGUUAAUACGUGAUGAACAUCAUUCUAUACAAAUACUUACAGAUGUACCUCAUUCUUUUUUUGCUGAUGCCUGGUGUUCUAAUGAAUGGACACAUCAAAAAUUAACAAUCCUUUUAAUAAAAG
rnacentral:lncRNA from 1 species